rnacentral:rRNA from 1 species
GACGAACGCUGGCGGCGUGCUUAACACAUGCAAGUCGAACGGAAAGGCCCUGCUUUUGUGGGGUGCUCGAGUGGCGAACGGGUGAGUAACACGUGAGUAACCUGCCCUUGACUUUGGGAUAACUUCAGGAAACUGGGGCUAAUACCGGAUAGGAGCUCCUGCUGCAUGGUGGGGGUUGGAAAGAUUCGGCGGUUGGGGAUGGACUCGCGGCUUAUCAGCUUGUUGGUGGGGUAGUGGCUUACCAAGGCUUUGACGGGUAGCCGGCCUGAGAGGGUGACCGGCCACCUUGGGACUGAGAUACGGCCCAGACUCCUACGGGAGGCAGCAGUGGGGAAUAUUGCACAAUGGGCGGAAGCCUGAUGCAGCAACGCCGCGUGCGGGAUGACGGCCUUCGGGUUGUAAACCGCUUUCGCCUGUGACGAAGCGUGAGUGACGGUAAUGGGUAAAGAAGCACCGGCUAACUACGUG